rnacentral:rRNA from 1 species
GUAGUCUCGCACAGAUGCAUAUCAAUAAGCGGAGGAAAAGAAACUAACGAGGAUUCCCCUAGUAACGGCGAGUGAAGCGGGAAGAGCUCAAAUUUGAAAUCUUAAAGGGUUUCCCUUUACGAAUUGUAGUUUAAAGAAGUGUUUUCUGUUGAGGUUUUGGUAAAAGUUCUUUGGAAUAGGACAUCAUAGAGGGUGAGAAUCCCGUAUUUGACCUUUACUUUCAACUUUGUGAUACACUUUCAAAGAGUCGGAUUGUUUGGGAAUGCAGUCCAAAAUGGGUGGUAAAUUUCAUCUAAAGCUAAAUAUUGGCGAGAGACCGAUAGCGAACAAGUACCGUGAGGGAAAGAUGAAAAGAACUUUGAAAAGAGAGUUAAACAGUACGUGAAAUUGUCAAAAGGGAAGCGUUUGACACCAGUGUUGUUUUUCUGAAAAUCAAUUAAAGAACUGUUUAUGCUAAGUUGUUUAGACUUUAUCAGCUAUCUGUUUAGUUUUGAGCUUUUCUUUAAUGCACUUUUCAGUUAACAAGUCAACAUCAAUUUCUUUUGCUGUAAAAAAGCUUGAGGAAGGUGGCUUGAGAUUCGUCUUAAGUGUUUAUAGCCUCUUGCCUAUGCAGUCGGAGAGAUUGAGGUCUGCAGCGUAGAUCCUUCGGGGCUAAAUGCAUUUGUGCUAAGUUAUAGCAUUUUAUAGACAACUUGUUGACUAUGAUUUGUCUUGUAGCUUACUCGCUUAUGUUAUUUUACCUACGCUUAGGAUGUUGACGCAUGAGAUAUACGC